AAGUGGCAAAUCUUACUUACUCAUUGAUUCUCACCCAAAACAACUUUCUGGUCCUUUACCAACAAGCAAGCAAAGUGACAGCCUGUAUUGGGAUGCCAGUCUGAAAGUGGUCCUCAGUAAUAAAGACAGAAAUGCAGAUGCUCUACAGACAGCAGAAAAGCAGGUCCUUUCCUGAGAGCUCACCACCAAAGAUUUAGGUGAUGUGCAGGGUGGAAUAAACAGGCCAAAAGAGGAAUGGAUGACUGGGUAACAACAGAGACAUGAAAAGCCUUUGCUGUGUGAAAUUAUUGGGAGAGCCUGAGCACAGUCUUGGACUUUUAUGGAUACAAAACCAGGUAAAAGGAUGCUUCAGAGCAACUACUGAAGAAGUCAUGACCAUGGACGUGACCAAGACCGUCCUGCACACACAGCUGAAGAAAGAGCUGGCUGGAGAGCUGUCCGAAAGGUGAAUGCCAGCCAGUCAUGCUCUCAGUGCAGCAGCCCAGAGCCUGCCAGAAGUUCGCACCAGCCUCAUCCUCAUCCACCCUCUGCCUGCCAUCAUCCUGCUCCUCUGCUCAUGUACACCACAUCAACUAUCUCUUACCCCUUUACUCUGCCUUUCAAGCAUUGCCUUCUAUGCACAGUUUCCUUGCAUAGCGUUCCCUGCAUUUCUACUACCCACUGACAGGAGGUGUUUCCUUCUCAGAGAUCCUUCACUAUUUCCCUUUUCUCAUCCAGUUAAAAUACCCAAAAAUCUAUCUGUUCUGGAGAAGCAGAUAACAACCUUCAAAUGGCUCAUACAGUGUUUAUUGUCAUGUUUUGAUUAUUUGUGCACCUUGCUGGAGAAAUGACAGUCAAAAAGGUAGUGCUGAAUCAGAUAAAAAAAUAUGUGACUGCAGCAUAAAACAUUUGCAAACAGCUUUUUGUGCAACAAAGAAAAUGCAAAAAUAUGGCAGAUGACACUCCUAAUUAGCUCCUCUCCCUGGAUUAAUUAAAAUAGAAGUUUAAAUAUAUGGUAACCUUUUGGAAAAAUAAAAGAGAAUAAAAAAGAAAAAGAAAGAAGAUUGAAAA